AUUGAACGCUGGCGGCAUGCCUAACACAUGCAAGUCGAACGGCAGCACAGUGCGUAGCAAUACGUAUGGGUGGCGAGUGGCGGACGGGUGAGGAAUGCAUCGGAAUCUACCCAGUAGCGGGGGAUAACCUGGGGAAACUCAGGCUAAUACCGCAUACGACCUAUGGGUGAAAGCGGGGGACCGUAAGGCCUCGCACUAUUGGAUGAGCCGAUGCCGGAUAGCUAGUUGGUAGGUAACGGCCUACCAAGGCGACGAUCCGUAGCUGGUCUGAGAGGACGAUCAGCCACACCGGAACUGAGACACGGUCCGGACUCCUACGGGAGGCAGCAGUGGGGAAUAUUGGACAAUGGGGGAAACCCUGAUCCAGCAAUGCCGCGUGUGU
rnacentral:rRNA from 1 species